rnacentral:lncRNA from 1 species
GUCCUCGCGCCGAGCCCCUGCGCGGGGCAUGAGGAGCCCCGGGGCGCCGCCCGGAGACGGAGAGGACCCGGCUGCGCGCACACCUCGCCAGCGGCGGACGGGGACAUGAGCGGCGCGCGCGGGCUCCGGGGCCCGGCGGCCAGCCCCAGCCCGCGGCGGCCAGCGGGUCGGCGCUGCCCGGGAGAAUGAGGCAGGAGCCCGCGGCAGCCUCCUCCUCCUCCUCCUCCUCCUCCUCCCCCUGCUGCUGCUCUUCGCCUUCCUCCGGCUCCGGCGCCCCGGGCCCCGGCCGGGCUGUGGCUCUGCUGCGUGCCCCGCGCGCCCCCCGCCCGCCUCCGGAUGCGCUGCUCGCUCUGAAGACUCUGCUGUAGAACUUUGGAUUCUGAAGUUCUAAGACUGCUUCACUAUUAAAGAGAUGUGUGAACUCGGCUUCAAUGGAGCGCUCUGGGUUGGUGUUGGCUGGGCCACCAGAACUGGGCAACAGUUCUUUUGUAUCCCACCUCCCUCUGGAAAACUCAGCGGGCGUGCCACCAACCCCGGCUGCCCAGCUGACUCAUCCACCUUGGGAAGGCGGAUGGGUUGGCCUUGAACGCCAGCCUCUGCCAGCCCCUAUGGCCCCUGCUGGUCCACGUGCGACAUUCCACUCCACUUUCUCCCACCAGCUGUCCACGGAACUGCCGUCCACGCCGGCUCCCACUGUGUGUGGCUGGCCUGCUGUGCGCGCCAGAAAUCUCCCAGCUCCAGAAUGGAUGGAGAGGACCCCCCCUCGUUUUACCAAUGGAGAAACUGAGACCCAGAAAGGGAAGGAGACUGCCAGGUCCUAUACAGGGCAACAGAGCCUGUUUUCAAAACCUGGCAUCAGAAGCCAGGUGAGUACGGUGCUUUUGUAUCCGUUAGCCUUCGCCAACAACCAGGCACACGCGUGCCCAGGCUUUCCAUCUGCAAAUGCAGCGGAGCCUUGGAGCCAGUAAUGGGCAGAGCUGGCCGGUCUUCAGAAGAUCCCACCUUGCUCGGCUGCAGCUGGCAGGGUUAGGGCCCAGACCUCCCCAGGAGCAUCCUCUAGGCUCGGCUGAAGCAGGCCUCCCCCACGGC